rnacentral:tRNA from 1 species
UCCCUGGUGGCUCAGAUGGUAAAGAAUCUGCCUGCAAUGCAGGAGACCCAGGUUUGAUCUCUGGUCAGGAAG